rnacentral:rRNA from 1 species
CCUACGGGGUGCUGCAGUGGGGGAUAUUGCACAAUGGGGGGAACCCUGAUGCAGCGACGCCGCGUGGGUGAAGAAGCGCCUCGGCGCGUAAAGCCCUGUCAGCAGGGAAGAAAAUGACGGUACCUGAAGAAGAAGCCCCGGCUAACUACGUGCCAGCAGCCGCGGUAAUACGUAGGGGGCAAGCGUUAUCCGGAUUUACUGGGUGGAAAGGGGGCGCAGACGGCGAUGCAAGCCAGGAGUGAAAGCCCGGGGCCCAACCCCGGGACUGCUCUUGGAACUGCGUGGCUGGAGUGCAGAAGGGGCAGGCGGAAUUCCUGGUGUAGCGGUGAAAUGCGUAGAUAUCAGGAGGAACACCGGUGGCGAAGGCGGCCUGCUGGACUGCAACUGACGUUGAGGCCCGAAAGCGUGGGGAGCAAACAGGAUUAGAUACCCUAGUAGUC